rnacentral:rRNA from 1 species
GAUGAACGCUGGCGGCGUGCCUAAUACAUGCAAGUCGAGCGAACGGACGAGAAGCUUGCUCCUCUGAUGUUAGCGGCGGACGGGUGAGUAACACGUGGAUAACCUACCUCUAAGACUGGGAUAACUUCGGGAAACCGGAGCUAAUACCGGAUAAUAUUUUGAACCGCAUGGUUCAAAAGUGAAAGACGGUCUUGCUGUCACUUAUAGAUGGAUCCGCGCUGCAUUAGCUAGUUGGUAAGGUAACGGCUUACCAAGGCAACGAUGCAUAGCCGACCUGAGAGUGUGAUCGGCUACACUGGAACUGAGACACGGUCCAGACUCCUAUGGUAGGCAGCAGUAGGGAAUCUUCCGCAAUGGGCGAAAGCCUGACGGAGCAACGCCGCGUGAGUGAUGAAGGUCUUCGGAUCCUAAAACUCUGUUAUUAGGGAAGAACAUAUGUGUAAGUAACUGUGCACAUCUUGACGGUACCCAAUCAGAAAGCCACGGCUAACUACGUG